rnacentral:lncRNA from 1 species
GGGGUAAGCAGCAUGAUCCCCCAGGUAAACAGGGGUAAGCAGCAUGAUCCCCCAGGUAAACAGGGGUAAGCAGCAUGAUCCCCCAGGUAGACAGGGGUAAGCAGCAUGAUCCCCCAGGUAGACAGGGGUAAGCAGCAUGAUCCCCCAGGUAGACAGGGGUAAGCAGCAUGAUCCCCCAGGUAAAAAGGGGUAAGCAGUAUGAUUACCAAUCCAAUAAUGUCCUUCAGGUGUUCCUACUGAGCAUUUCCCAGCUGCUGUUGCAAAAUUGUGAAAUCCCUGUUGAAAUGUUGGGCAAUUGUCAUUCACCUCAUUUUUACAGAGGUGGCUAUCUAACACUCCCAAUUCUACCACACGGUCCCCAGAACCAGUGAAUCUCACAUACCAAGAGAAAGAUUCAGGAACAACAUCAAUAACAACAGUAUCAGGAACAAUUAAACAAUCAGCUUGACAGCCAGGUGUUCAUCGUCUGCGGAUUAGUUCACGCAUUUUUGUAGUUGUGGUAUUUGCCCAGCUCUUAGUGAUGAAUGAAACAUCUUGCAAGUUUCACAAUCAGUAAGUCUUAUUGCCAGCAGUGGAAAAACCCAUGACACAGAUGUAGAUGUCAGUCCACAAACACAAUGUUGUUGUCCAUUGUUUUGAGGCACUUUGCUAAGAAUAAAAUACAUACAUUCUCAAAAUAGUUUGAGGUAGGGUCAUGGGGGUGAGCUGGUGAAUUGUCAAACUGUUCAUUACCACUCAACCCUACCAUCACACUUCUGACACCAAUCUGUCCAGUUGAGGAGAGCAGCGGCAGUCCCAGAAUAAAAAGUGUGAAUUGCGCCAUUACCUCAUAUCUGAUCGUCCUCAGGGUUGCCCACGUUCAGGCAGUGGGAUCCUUGGAUCCAGUUGUCCCUUUCAGCGAUCCUGACCAUAGUCGGAGGGGUCAGCAGCACUUGGUAUGGUCCCCUCCACCGAGGUUGGUGCCAGUGCAUUCGUCUCAGAUUCUUCACCACGAUCCAGUCGCCAGGGGAGAUCAUAUGCAGCUGUCCUCCCUUUGGCUUGGGCAGGGCAGCUCGGCACCUGUGUAUAGAUAGAACUAAACAAAACUCUGAAAUCUAUCAUAUACUUUACCAUCUGGUCGUCCCCACCAGUCAAGGUAAACUGGGCCUGCUUCACUGGCGUGUUGUCCAUCUUCAUCGGCCUUCCUGUAAGUACUUACCCUGACAGGUAGAGAG